rnacentral:sRNA from 1 species
GUUCGACUCGAGCGCCAGCGAGAGAGCGUUGCCGCAGGCAACGACCCGAAGGGCGAAGCGCGCAGCGCUGAGUAAUCCUUCCCCCACCACCA